UACGAAGGGGGCUAGCGUUGUUCGGAAUCACUGGGCGUAAAGGGCGCGUAGGCGGCUUUGUAAGUCGGGGGUGAAAGCCUGUGGCUCAACCACAGAAUUGCCCUUCGAUACUGCAUGGCUUGAGACCGGAAGAGGUUAGUGGAACUGCGAGUGUAGAGGUGAAAUUCGUAGAUAUUCGCAAGAACACCAGUGGCGAAGGCGGCUUCCUGGACACCAACUGACGCUGAGACGCGAAAGCGUGGGGAGCAAA
rnacentral:rRNA from 1 species